rnacentral:rRNA from 1 species
UACGGAGGGUGCAAGCGUUAUCCGGAUUCACUGGGUUUAAAGGGUGCGUAGGAGGGCAGGUAAGUCAGUGGUGAAAUCUCCGAGCUUAACUUGGAAACUGCCGUUGAUACUAUCUGUCUUGAAUACCGUGGAGGUGAGCGGAAUAUGUCAUGUAGCGGUGAAAUGCUUAGAUAUGACAUAGAACACCAAUUGCGAAGGCAGCUCGCUACACGAAUAUUGACUCUGAGGCACGAAAGCGUGGGGAUCAAACAGG